AGAAGAAGAGAACUUCCAUCCAUUAUGGACACAAAUCAUCUGUCACUUAAACCAACUGUAACUCCAGCAACAGCAGCAGAGUUAUACCAGAUUUGCCCAGCGAUCAAUGAAAUGAGAAUUGGGUCCUAUGUAUGCUGUUGGAGAUUCAGAUAUGCAAAGAACUUGUGUGUACCCCUUCAUGAGAGAUGUGAGAAGGCUCAUGCAUUGCCAAUGAUGCAGAGAAGAUAGAAGUUAAUCUAAACGAGUUACUUAUGAAGAUCUAGGAAAAAAUGGAUGUAUGUUACUUUCUUCAUAGCCAUAUGAAGAAGGCAAACAGUACUAUUCCAGUCCAGCUGGGGAGCUGCAUGUGUUUCAAUGAUCACAGGAUCUUCUCCUUCCCAGAGGCUAGUGAAG